rnacentral:rRNA from 1 species
UACAGAGGGUGCGAGCGUUAAUCGGAAUUACUGGGCGUAAAGCGUGCGUAGACGGUUAUGUAAGUCAGAUGUGAAAGCCCCGGGCUCAACCUGGGAAUUGCAUUUGAGACUGCAUAGCUAGGAUGCGGAAGAGGGAAGUGGAAUUUCCGGUGUAGCGGUGGAAUGCGCAGAUAUCAGGAGGAACACCGAUGGCGAAGGCAGGUCUCUGGGCCGCAACUGACGCUGAGGAGCGAAAGCAUGGGGAGCGAACAGG